GAUGAAGAACGUAGCAAAAUGCGAUAAGUAAUGUGAAUUGCAGAAUUCAGUGAAUCAUCGAAUCUUUGAACGCACAUUGAGCCCGCCAGUAUUCUGGCGGGCAUGCCUGUUCGAGCGUCAUUUCAACCCUCAAGCUCAGCUUGGUGUUGGGACUCGCGGUAACCCGCGUUCCCCAAAUCGAUUGGCGGUCACGUCGAGCUUCCAUAGCGUAGUAAUCAUACACCUCGUUACUGGUAAUCGUCGCGGCCACGCCGUAAAACCCCAACUUCUGAAUGUUGACCUCGGAUCAGGUAGGAAUACCCGCUGAACUUAAGCAUAUCAAUAAGCGGAGGA
rnacentral:misc_RNA from 1 species